rnacentral:lncRNA from 1 species
AAAAACAUCAAAUCAAAAGCCAUGGUAUAGACACAAAGGGUCUGUAGGGUAAAAAGAGAAGAAGAAAUAUAUAUAAAUAAAAUUAAAUUUAAGUUUGAGUAAAAACUAGUUUUGACUGGCAUUUCCCUGAUGAGUAAGGAUGCUGAACGUUUCUCUAGUGCUUCUGUGUAUAUGUUUGUCUUAUCAGUUGUUGAAUAAAACACUGAUUGGCCAGGCAAGAUGAUAGGUAGGACUAGGAGACAAGGAGGAUUCUGGGAAAUGUAGGCAGAGAGGAGUCGUCACGUUGAUCCCAAGAAGUGAUGUAGCUGGGCAGAAACUGCCACUAGCUAACCAUAGAGGUCUGGAGGUCUGUAUAGACAGGCAGGAAGUGACGUAGCUGGUCAGGUCACCCUGAUAUAAUCAGGGACAAAUAGGAAAUCACUCUCUUCUCUGCAGACUUGCUGAGAAGUCGACAUGUAGAAUGGCAGAGGAGUAACAGGUCCCUGAAUCUUUCUCUGGAAAGAGAAGACCACGUGGGAAUACUUGGAUUAAUAAUGAUGGGUCUCAUCACCUCGGAAAGAUGCUGCAGGCUGUAACCACACGUGGAGAUCAGACACAUUACAGCUCUCCAUAGCAAGGCGUUCACAUGCAGAUUUUAGAGGAGCACAGUAUCUACUCCGUUUCGGAAAGAGAGCAUCAACUUCCUCCACUCCACACACUUUGCUCAAAGGACAUACUCAUAGGGAUUACCUAACUCCGAACCUUGAACCAAAUGUGCAGGAAAGAAGUUUACUCAGCAACAGUAAUGGAAACGGGAUCCGAAAACCUAAGCAAAGAUUCUGACCAGUGAGAUAUGCCCCUUGUCACCAUGGUUACACAGCAAGCAGCAUCAACGGGAAGGAGGGACCGACCUCAGACAUCUGCUAUCUAGGCCUGCCUGCCAUCUAUGCUUAAACAUUACCAGGAUCCAAAAGUUUUGUAUUCGGAGCAAUUAGGAUGUUGUGCUGGCUAAUCUUAUGUCAACUUGACACCAGCUGGAGUCAUCUGAGAGGGGGAACCCCAACUGAGAAAAUGUGGUAGAUCAGGCUGUAGACAAGCCUGUAGAGCAUUUUCUGAAUUAGUGAUUGAUGUGGGAAG